GGGCCCAUAGCUCAGUUGGUCAGAGCGGCGGACUCAUAAUCCGUUGGUCGUAGGUUCAAGUCCUACUGGGCCCACCA
rnacentral:tRNA from 1 species